GAUGAACGCUAGCUACAGGCUUAACACAUGCAAGUCGAGGGACCGGCGCACGGGUGAGUAACACGUAUCCAACCUGCCCUUUACUCGGGGCUAGCCUUUCGAAAGAAAGAUUAAUACCCGAUAUAAAGGAUGGGGAUGCGUUCCAUUAGGUUGUUGGUGAGGUAACGGCUCACCAAGCCUUCGAUGGAUAGGGGUUCUGAGAGGAAGGUCACCCACAUAGGAACAGAGACACGGUCCAAACGCCAAAGGGAGGCAGAAGUGAGGAAUAUUGGUCAAUGGGAGCGAGCCUGAACCAGACAAGGAGAGGGAAGGAGGAAGGAUUAUGGGUCGUAAACUACUUUUAAAUAAGAAUAUGUAUUAUAUGAAUAAGGAUCGGCUAACUCCGUGCCAGCCGCCGCGGGAAUUC
rnacentral:rRNA from 1 species